rnacentral:rRNA from 1 species
UAGCUUUAAGAUUUUAUUUAAAGUUUUACCUGCCCGGUGGAACUCUUAACGGCCGCAGUACUUUGACUGUGCUAAGGUAGCAUAAUAAAUUGGCUUUUAAUUAAAGUCGGGUAUGAAAGGGACUUUGGAAGGUAGCUGUCUCAAGUAUAUUUUAUUUUAAUUUAAUUAAUGAGUGAAAAUUCUCAUAUUUUAAUACAUUAGACGAGAAGACCCUAAGAGUUAUAAUUAAAAUGAAUUUAUUUCAUAUAUCAUUUUUGUUGGGGCAACAAAGACUGGAUAAAACCGUCAUAAAAUAAAUUUUACAUAACUAAUAGUAUUUAAAAAGAAAUAAACUACCUUAGGGAUAACAGC